AGGAGGGAUGGAAUAGGAAGGCUCCUCCACACAGUCUGGAAGUCACUUGCACCCGUGUGCUAAAUGGAACAGGGCAGUCACUUAAACGCCUCCGGCUGGCAACGCAACCUAGAGCAGUGGCUGGAUCUUCAGUUCCUGCUGUGUCGGUUCUGACUGCACGGUCCCCUUCUUGAGAUCUGAUUGGUCUGGCAACGUGAGAGAAAUGACUCAAAAAGCCCCACCUCCUUUCCUCACCUGGAGUUUAUCAGCAGGAGGGAUGCCAUAGUUCUCAGCUCGCAGAUUGGCUGCCGUCAUUAUGAAGUCCAAUGCCUCGUGGAUUCUGCAUCUCUUGGUCAGUGAGGGGAAUAUGCACUCCCUGACGCGGCUGGAAAGGCGGUAGAUACAAGCCACGGAGGACUUCGAAAGCGGCAGCGUUGUCCUCACUCACAUGGAGCCUGUGUGUCUGGGCAAAGAGGUGACUGGCAGCCAAAAUGAAGGUCAUAUGGGUAUUCUAUAAAAACACAGAAGGUAUACUCAGCAGAGACAGUACCAAAUAUGUCCCCCUUCCUCACUAUAGCCUAUGUUUCCUGCUCCCCACAAUCAGUGACUG